GUGUUCUCUCCAGCAGCACAUACACUAAAAUUGGAACUACAGAGAAGAUUAGCAUGGCCCCUGCACAAGAUCACAUGCAAAUUCUUGAAGCGGAGUUUUGAAUU